CUAAGCGUACACGGUGGAUGCCCUGGCAGUCAGAGGCGAUGAAGGGCGUGCUAAUCUGCGAUAAGCGCCGGUAAGGUGAUAUGAACCGUUAUAACCGGCGAUACCCGAAUGGGGAAACCCAGUGUGAUUCGUCACACUAUCAUUAACUGAAUCCAUAGGUUAAUGAGGCGAACCGGGGGAACUGAAACAUCUAAGUACCCCGAGGAAAAGAAAGCAACGGAGAUUCCCCCA
rnacentral:rRNA from 1 species